UUCGGUGGCUAUAGCGGAGAGGAUCCACCCGUUCCCAUUCCGAACACGGAAGUUAAGCUCUUCAGCGCCGAUGGUACUGCAUGGGAGACUGUGUGGGAGAGUAGGUGCCGCCGGAA
rnacentral:rRNA from 4 species